UGCGUAGGCGGCGCGGUAAGUCGGGUGUGAAAUCUCGGAGCUUAACUCCGAAACUGCAUUCGAUACUGCCGUGCUCGAGGACUGGAGAGGAGACUGGAAUUUACGGUGUAGCGGUGAAAUGCGUAGAUAUCGUAAGGAAGACCAGUGGCGAAGGCGGGUCUCUGGACAGUUCCUGACGCUGAGGCACGAAGGUCAGGGGAGGCAAACG
rnacentral:rRNA from 1 species